AGGAUUAACGCUGGCGGCGUGCAUGAAACAUGCAAGUCGAGCGCGGUGCGUGGCUUCGGUCACGCAUCUAGCGGCGCACGGGUGAGUAACACGUGAGCAACCUACCUUCGAGUUCGGGAUAGCCCUGGGAAACCAGGAUUAAUACCGGAUGUGGUCACAACGGGACAUCCCGAUGUGAAAAAAGGCGCAAGCCGCUCGAUGACGGGCUCGCGGCCUAUUAGCUUGUUGGUGGGGUAACGGCCUACCAAGGCGACGAUGGGUAGCUGGUCUGAGAGGACGAUCAGCCACACUGGGACUGAGACACGGCCCAGACUCCUACGGGAGGCAGCAGUUAGGAAUUUUCCGCAAUGGGCGAAAGCCUGACGGAGCAACGCCGCGUGUGUGAUGAAGGCCUUCGGGUUGUAAAGCACUGUCGGAGGGAAGAAUGAAUGACGGUACCCUCCAAGAAGCCCGGACUAACUACGUGCCAGCAGCCGC
rnacentral:rRNA from 1 species